rnacentral:ncRNA from 1 species
UCCAACUUUACAACAGAGGAUGGGAAUGACGGAACCAUGUUUCCCGAAACCAUCCCGUCAACAGAUCCUGCAUGCGUUAAGACUGACAGGUCUUAGGGUGUGAAGCACAGGUGAUUCGGCAGAACGAAGGCUGGAGCCACUUUCAAUGAGAAGGUAUGCCGACGGAUAUGCCGCGCGGCUGAAAA